rfam:Lyngbya sp. PCC 8106 1099428180507, whole genome shotgun sequence.
GGAGAGGUGGCAGAGCCUGGUUGAAUGCGACAGACUCGAAAUCUGUUAGGGGUUGAAUUGCUCCUCGUGGGUUCGAAUCCCACCCUCUCCG